rnacentral:rRNA from 1 species
GACGAACGCUGGCGGCGUGCUUAACACAUGCAAGUCGAACGGAGUGGCGAACGGGUGAGUAACACGUGGGUGAUCUGCCUUGCACUUCGGGAUAAGCUUGGGAAACUGGGUCUAAUACCGGAUAGUGCAAGAUGAGCUCGCGGCCUAUCAGCUUGUUGGUGGGGUAAUGGCUUACCAAGGCGUCGACGGGUAGCCGGCCUGAGAGGGUGUACGGCCACAUUGGGACUGAGAUACAAGCCAGACUACUACGGGGGGAAGCAGUGGAGGAUAUUGCACGAUGGGCGGAAGGAUGAAGCAGCGGCGCCGCGUGGGGGAUAAAGGCCUUCGGAUAGGAAACUCCUUUCGACAGGGACGCGGUACCUGAAUAAGAAGCACCGGCUAACUACGUGCCAGCAGCCGCGGUAAUGC